CAUAGAUACCUGAGAGUUGAUGGUCAAAGCGGAUUAGCUGGGGCUGUAAGGCAGGACGGCCCUGGACAUGCAGGGUUUGAGGAGGUGGGGGUGUUCUCCGGGCUCUCAAAGGUCCUGCAUUGCUCAAUUGUGCCUGACACGGACCCUAGUGUCAUUUCUGGUUCCCUCCUCUAGGUGUGCACAGCCUUCACUGCAGAGCAUGCCACGCAUGGGCACAUCAAGAUGCACCAUGCCUACACCAACGUGGUGGGCCUGGGGGACUCCAGCACGUGGAGGCUGCCUUGCCUCAACCGCUAUGUCUACAUGUUCCUUGCUCCUUUCCUCCUCCCCAUCGCCACUCCACUGGUGGCUGUUGCACAUCGGACUGCCCAUGUUCUCCCGGGACAACAAGCCCCGUCGGAUUCACAUGAUGAGCCUGGGGGUGCUUAACCUGGCCCGGCUGCCCGUGCUGGACUGGGCGUUCGGCCACUCGAUCAUCAGCUGCCAUGUGGAACACCAUCUAUUCCCCAGGCUGUCUGAUAACAUGUGCCUGAAGGUGAAGCCCGUGGUGUCCCAGUUCCUCCGUGAGAAGCAGCUACCGUACAACGAGGACUCAUACCUGGCUCGCUUCCAGCUGUUUCUCCGUCGCUAUGAGGAAUUCAUGGUGCAGGCCCCACCCAUCACUGAGCUUGUGGGGCUGCAAUGAGGCUGGGCCGGUGCAGCCACCCUGCCCCUCCCUGGCCUGGCCCUGGCCCUCCUGCUGCUGCUGGUCCAGGGGGUGUGGCUCAGUGGCUGGUGGUGGACCUGGAGAGUGGAGGCACCGGCCAGGCAGGGGGGCAGGGGAGCUCAGGCCUGGGGUCUGGGGGCCACCUGCCUUGCGUGCUUUUCUGGGUUUUGAGGGGUGUCUGGGGGAAGCGGUAAUGGUGGCUGUGCAUUCUGGUCAGUCUGGACCUCAGCAACUUCAUCUCAGGACUAAAGAGCUGGGUCCUUCCCCCUGCUCCAUCCGAGCCUUGGUAGGGUUAAAGGGAGGUGACAGGGUGAAGAGGGAUCCUGUGCAGGGGCCACCUGGGAGAUAGCAGGGGGCACAGAGAGAGCAGGGUCAGCUCCCUCGGCUGG
rnacentral:sRNA from 1 species